CUGGGAGCACAGGUGCAAGCAAUUGCCUGUGCAAUUCCUAACCUCAUUUAAGGGCUGGCAGCCAAAGGGGGAGCAUCUUUAUUUGAAGGCUUCUUCCUCUGGGAGUUUUUCAGUGAGCCCUUUUCCUUGGAAACAGAUAGACCAGCCCUGGUAAACAGAAAGUCAGGGAGUGUGUGAUGAGGAGUGGCUACCAGUAAAGGAGGUGAGAGUUGAUGGGAGGGCCUUUGAUACCUUGAUGAAGUCCUGGGUUGAAGACACCAGUCUAGAAAACUGCCUGAGGCAUGUGGGGAGAAGCAUAAAGAUGCUGAGGAUCUGGAGGGGCUUGUGCACUACAGAGCCUGAAGCUGAGCGAGUUAGGUGACGUUUAUCUUGAAAUGCUGACCUUUGAGUAAAAGAAGGUGGGCUUGCACAUAUCUUUUGUGAUGAAGAGAUGAUAGUUAACUGAGAAAAGUGGCUUUCCUGGAGUGAUUUUCUGUCGGUUGUUUCCCCGCCUGCCACAGAAAAGGGAAAAGUAACUUAUGGUAACAUUUAUGCAAGGAAGAAUCUCCGGGCUAAAUUAUUUACCAAGUGUCCAGAUACUGGAUAGAGGUAUUUUUGUUUGGGGUUGCUUGGUUUUGUCUUAAGCCAAUGCCUUUCUGCAAUAGGCAGAAUUCUUUGAGUAUGUGUUUCUAAAUUUAUUUCCAUGUUUAUGAAUUUGAAAUGCUUGUUUUCCUUUCAAAUGCUUAGCUUCUAUGAAAAAAAAAAUCCUUCUAUAAACACUAAUUUGCAGAUUUUUGUACUUAAAUGUGAUGAAAAUGGCUGCAGAGAUGGCCAAAGAAAUGUAUCUUUUUCUUUUAUGAAUAAUCAUGCAGAAUUAUUUGACCAGCCCAGACAGACAUUGUUUUUCCUUGUUUUACUUUGUAGCUCUUGAAAUUAGUUUCAUUGUUUGCUGCAUUCCUGCUGACUCUAGAAUUUCCUAACAUGGAAACAGGAGAGAAGGAAAGGAGUGUAGAAAGUUAAUGCAUGCUUUUAUCUGAAAAUAUAUUGUGAAAAUAGGCUUCUUGUGAAGUACAGCAUUCAAACAAGAACUCUGGACCUGUCAGCCACCUGUGUCAGGACUUCCCUUUCCUAGAUCUCAUUUUAUUAAUUUUCCUUGAUGUGAAAUAAGAAACUGAACAUAAUUUUCAUAUAGUGUUCAGUAUCAUGAUUUUAUGUAAAAGCAUUACAUUUUCAGUUCUCUUAUUCCUUCUUAAUGAGCCUAUUUCAGGUAAGCACUGAACAGGAGCCCCUUAGUGAGCUGCAGAGUGAUAGCCUGCAAAUCUUUUCACUGAAAUGUGACGUGUUGAUCAGAAAUUAUAGGUACAUGUUGUUUUUUUUCUUCCCCUUACUACUUUGUCUCCAUUUUAAUUUUUCACUACCCUUGUUUAUUUUGGCUUUCUCCAUAACCCUACUAUGACCUGUGUCAUCAGUAUGGCAUUUUCUUUCCCUGCCUCAUGUCUCUCCUCUGUUUACUUCACAGAACUGAACUAGACUAAUAUUGAUCUGAACAUCUGUUCACAGCUAUGU